AGCGGUGGCGUUUUCAUAAUCACCCUCCAUAUUGGUUAACUAACACAAUAUGAGGCUUUCAGAAGUCCAAAGUCAAAGAAAAACAAACCGCGUGUAGGUAUAAUGACAUUUCAGUUGUUGUUUUUACCGUUGUGUGAUGAGUUUACGCGCUUCAAAAUAAAAGCUAAACGUUCGUUGGUUGCUUCUCGCGCUGUUGUCGUUGUCGUGGAAUUCCGAUUAAAAAUGAACUCCCAUCCUUCCAAUUCCAAUAUCACAGCCACAACACAACCGACAUAAGAGUGACAGUCAGAAAAAUACAUAUUUCUAUACCAACGGAAUUUAAAACGCAAGUCCAAUAACCUGCCUGUGCUGCCUCAAUGAAUACCAAACCAAACCAACGAACGCUUUAUCUACCUUACCUACAGUGAAUGUGAAAUUUACACAGAAAACAAAUAAUAGAGCUGAGUGCGCUCUAGUUUGCGUCUUUCGAUGUUAAGUUGACAGGCAAUCAUAAAAAUAAGGCUAUAAUCGAAAAAAUGAACAUCGAAUAAAUGGCGAAGCCAAAUUUUAACGGAAAGCUGUUGUUUUUAGUUCUGUCUGACAGAACAGAUUAAGCGGUAACAAUUGUGAGCAGUGAGCAAAUUCCCGCCAAAGAAGAAAAAGAUUUAGUAUAGAUUCGAAUUGAAUAUGACGACGACGACGACGCACGACAACGUGAGAAUGGAGGCGAUGAGGCGAUGACGUGUAUGGAAAGAGAAGACAACUUUGGAAAGUAUAAAACAAACGCAAACGCUGUCGAAAUAAAGAGAAACGAUUUAUAUUUAUUUUAAAAUUUGUAACAACAACGUUUUAAACGCUGGUUUUUAAAUGUUUCAAUGCAUUUAAUAGCA